rnacentral:rRNA from 1 species
GACGAACGCUGGCGGCGUGCUUAACACAUGCAAGUCGAACGAAAAGAGGGAAAGAGCUUGCUCUUUCCGGAAUUGAGUGGCAAACGGGUGAGUAACACGUAAACAACCUGCCUUCAGGAUGGGGACAACAGACGGAAACGACUGCUAAUACCGAAUAAGUUCUAAGGGCCGCAUGGCCCAUGGAAGAAAAGGUGGCCUCUACCUGUAAGCUAUCGCCUGAAGAGGGGUUUGCGUCUGAUUAGCUGGUUGGAGGGGUAACGGCCCACCAAGGCGACGAUCAGUAGCCGGUCUGAGAGGAUGAACGGCCACACUGGAACUGAGACACGGUCCAGACUCCUACGGGAGGCAGCAGUGGGGAAUCUUCCGCAAUGGGCGAAAGCCUGACGGAGCAACGCCGCGUGAGUGAUGACGGCCUUCGGGUUGUAAAACUCUGUGAUCCGGGACGAAAAGGCAGAGUGCGAAGAACAAACUGCAUUGACGGUACCGGAAAAGCAAGCCACGGCUAACUACGUG